UACGUAGGGGCAAGCGUUGUCCGGAAUCAUUGGGCGUAAAGAGCGUGUAGGCGGCCCGAUAAGUCCGCUGUGAAAGUCCAGGGCUCAACCCUCGAAUGCCGGUGGAUACUGUCGGGCUAGAGUGCGGAAGAGGCGAGUGGAAUUCCUGGUGUAGCGGUGAAAUGCGCAGAUAUCAGGAGGAACACCGGUGGCGAAGGCGGGUCUCUGGGCCGAUACUGACGUGGAGGAGCGAAAGCGUGGGGAGCGAACAGG
rnacentral:rRNA from 1 species